GUAGGUGGCAAGCGUUGUCCGGAAUUAUUGGGCGUAAAGCGCGCGCAGGCGGUUCUUUAGGUCUGAUGUGAAAGCCCACGGCUCAACCGUGGAGAGUCAUUGGAAACUGGAGAACUUGAGUACAGAAGAGGAAAGCGGAAUUCCACGUGUAGCGGUGAAAUGCGUAGAGAUGUAGAGGAACACCAGUGGCGAAGGCGGCUUUCUGGUCUGUAACUGACGCUGAGGCGCGAAAGCGUGGGGAGCAAACAGGAUUAGAUACCCUGGUAGUCCACGCCGUAAACGAUGAGUGCUAAGUGUUAGGGGGUUUCCGCCCCCCUUAGUGCUGCAGCUAACGCAUUAAGCACUCCGCCUGGGAGUACGGCCGCAAGGCUG
rnacentral:rRNA from 1 species